CCCUUAGAUGUUCUGGGCUGCACGCGCGCUACACUGAUGCGUUCAACAAGUUGGACCUCGUCCGAGAGGAAAUCGGGGGAAUCUUUUGAAAACGUAUCGUGAUGGGGAUAGAUUAUUGUAAUUAUUAAUCUUCAACGAGGAAUUCCUAGUAAGCAUGAAUCAUCAGCUCGUGCUGAUUACGUCCCUGCCCUUUGUACACACCGCCCGUCGCUCCUACCGAUUGGGUGUGCUGGUGAAAUGUUCGGAUCGGCCGUUUGUCGCGGUUUCCGCGUCAUGUGGCUGAGAAGUUCAUUAAACCCUCCCACCUAGAGGAAGGAGAAGUCGUAACA
rnacentral:rRNA from 1 species